rnacentral:rRNA from 1 species
CCUGGCUCAGAAUCAACGCUGGCGGCGCGCUUAACACAUGCAAGUCGCACGAGAAAGUGGAGCAAUCCAUGAGUACAGUGGCGUACGGGUGAGUAACACGUGGAUCAUCUACCUUCUAGUGGGGAAUACCCCUGGGAAACUGGGGACAAUACCGCAUAAGCUCGUAAGAGGAAAGCAGCAAUGCGCUGGAAGAGGAGUCCGCGGCUGAUUAGCUAGUUGGCGGGGUAAUGGCCCACCAAGGCGAAGAUCGGUAGCCGGCCUGAGAGGGCACACGGCCACACUGGCACUGAAACACGGGCCAGACUCCUACGGGAGGCAGCAGUGGGGAAUCUUGCACAAUGGAGGAAACUCUGAUGCAGCGACGCCGCGUGAGCGAUGAAGCCCUUCGGGGUGUAAAGCUCUUUCGACGGGAACGAUAAUGACGGUACCCGAAGAAGAAGCUGCGGCUAACUACGUGCCAGCAGCCGCGGUAAUACGUAGGCAGCAAGCGUUGUUCGGAAUUACUGGGCGUAAAGAGUGUGUAGGCGGUGUUCUAAGUUUGUCGUGAAAUCUCCCGGCUUAACUGGGAGGGUGCGGCGAAAACUGGAAUGCUAGAGGAUGGGGAGAGGUAAGCGGAAUUCCUGGUGUAGCGGUGAAAUG